UGGGAUUUUGCUCUCAGCUUCUGUCCCUAAUAGUGUCCUAGUUCAACCUAGUGCCAGUUUCCUCAUGUGCAAACUAGGAGUAAUAUAUUCUACUACACGAGCAUUCUUUGAAAUGUAAUUCAUGUUCAUGAAAUACUUGGAGACAGAGAGUGUUCUAGAAGCACCAAGUUAUGGUAGGGGCACCCAAACUGUCUGGUGAACAGUGGACCUUUGAGGAGACCCUCAAGGAAGAAGGUGUUUUCUGUUUAAGUGUGGUGUGCGGGGUUUUUUUUAGUCUGUGAUGACAAAGCUGGCAUAUAGAAGAGGGUAAGUAGAUAUGUGGAAGAAAGGAAAUGUUGUGUGGCUCCUGGUCCGCGGAUAUGAUGCGAUGCAAACUUGUCCUAUACUGCACUGUCAGCAACAACAGAUGCAUUGGGUGGGGGGAGGGCUAGAGACCAUUUGGCAUUUGAACUAUUCCACAAAAGAAUCCAGUGCAAGAGGGAGGAGUUGAUGUACUACAAUGCAGUGGACGAACACUAGGUUAUAGAUGGGGAGACAAAGGUUUAUUAUGAAAUGUAGUCCAUCAUCUGGGUGUGACUGAAUGGAUCAUGCGAGGUGACGCUGAGCGUUGGCAGUGGCAGGAGGGACACGCGUUCCUGAACUUUGUUCAUUUUAUGUGAAUAAGUGUCCAUAUCACUUAUCUACAAUUAGUAAACUAAAUAGCAGAGACAUCAAGGAUUAAACAAUGAGAAUACACCCUUUUGUUUCUACAGAUGGUAUUUUCAGCUCAAAAUCAGUACGUUUCAGUGGGCUGUAGAACUGGAGAAGGUUAAUCUUCUGUUGUUGCUGCCCAUAGUAUGUCUCUUCACGAAAUAUAUUUUGCAGCUGGAUUUGCAGUAUAUGCACCUAUUACAAUUCUUUAGAAUAAGUACUUUUUUCACUUCCAGCAUUGCUGGUGAUUAAAAACAAAAAAACCUUUAUAUGCAUGACCUACUCAAGCUGUUCCCUGCUCUGCAUGGGGAGGGGAUCUGGAGCUCAUCAUUGUAAUCACUUCUGGGAACACUUAACAGGGAAUGGCAAGAAAAAGAGGAAUUUAGAGGUUUUACAAGAGACUGCAGAGCUCACCUGUUAACCUGUAGUAGGUAAACGUGAAAAAUCCCUUUAUAAAGUACUAGAAGUUUGUAGCCCCACUUAUAAUGUAUCCUUUUGAAGUGGAAUUGAACUGACUUUUUCAUAAAGAUCAAUGUGCAUCUGCACAGCAUGUUGAAUUUACAGUCUGUAGACUCAAUUAGUUAAUGUGCCAACCACUGUCUUGCACUAGUUUCUGUUUAGCCUCUGUUGCUACAUUUACCUGCAGUGAUUUGUUGUUGAGAAAUUCAGGACUUCAAUCUCUGAAGAAGGGGAGGUUGCUAAAGCCCAAAUUUUAUUUAAGAAACAACAAGAAGAGUGUAGAUGUUAUACAGUGUGGUAACUCAAUUUCAAAGCUAAGACAGCUGGCUUAUGUUCACAGGUUCCUGUUCUUCUAAUAGUAACUAUCAUCAAAAGUAUGCUAUUGCAAGAUUAGAGAGACAUACAAAACAAAAUUUGCCCUUACUUGCUUAUUUAUUAUGGUAGUUAAUGUUAUCCCUUUAUCACAAUUCGCUUUUGUCUGGCUUGUUUACACCUGUAAGCUUUGCAGAGCAGGGACAAGCUGUUCUGGGGUUGUUCAAUGGCUGGCAGCAUGGGCUGCCCCUUCUUUAUGAAUACAUGGGUACCUUCUGUUAGGCCCUCGUGAGGACUUCAAGCACUAAGAGCCAGCUAGCUGCUAUCCUCAAGUCUAGAACAUAGAUACCCAACCCCCUGCCUAACCAAGGAGCAUGCUAGGAGAGAGGAGGGUUAUGUAAAUACCUGCUUCUAGGGGUGUCCAAAGGCACUGCUAGUAAAUGCUUAAGACUUGUGUUGGGUGGGAUGAGAAUGCCUGUGUCCAGCCCCCGACCUCUGCCGCACGCUGGCUUUCUCUUGCCUCAUUUAGCCCAAUGGACAAUCAGAUAUUCUGUGUGCGAUGGACCAGCUUAGCAGGAGGGACUGAGACGCAGAUCUAUGCCAUGUAGUUAAGACACUCUGCCGCCGAACACCCUUUCAGGCAGAGGAGGGAAAUCUUGAGUUUCUGAGUUCCUAUGUGACUGCUAAGGAGUGUGUGGGGAAGGGGGGCUACCACGACCCCUGCCGAAGAGAUAGAUUAAGUACCUAGGAAAAGGCUCAGGACUGGGAAUCCCAAGCAAUGUGUCUAGCUUCAGCCUAGAGUUAGGGUCCACUGCUAUUUGAGGAGUUGAAAGAGAUUUAUCAGCAUGCCCAGCUAGUUCAUGUAGGGAGUUUUUCACUUAACAGGUGAUCUACAGGCCAGUGUAGAUCCCGUUCUUGGAUACCUGACUGUCCUGCAUUAUGUAUGGAGGCUGGGUGUCUAAUCUGGAGCUCUGAAUUUGGGUGAAGAGACACUGCAGUGCUCAUCACUGCAGCACCUGGGCCCUUUAUUGAGUCUGGCCGCACUGCAAUGAGUGUGAGUAAUGAUAAUAGAGGCAUGAGAGUAGAAUGACUGCACAGGAGAGAGAGCGAGCUGCACUUGCUAGAAUGCAGAACAUAUUUUUAAAGGGAUUAAAUUAGUGCUAGGUGCAAGAAUAUCACUUAAUGAAACAAAUGACUAUACCUUUUUUCAGUGGCAGGAAAAAAAGUGACACGCCACAGAUUGCCCCCUUUCUAUGCUCACUAUUCUUGCAGAAUAGAUGGCACUGUAACCCGGGUUAGUCAGACUUGGGUGAGUGUUUCUUCCUACUGAUGUUCUUUUAUCUUCUAUUCAUCUUAUUUCUUUUCUCUUUGCUAUAUUUCAUCUUCUUUCCAUCUUUUGAUUUUUUUUUUCCUCUCUGUAGUUAGUUCUCCAUCCUGAUUUGUUUCUUCAUUUUAUUUACUAUUCCUUUUUUACCCGUGUAUGUACUUAUUCCUUUAGCUCUCCUAAAUACUUUCUCUUUUGUCUCUCUUGUGAUCUGCCAUACAGUUUGGUCACCUUCCAGGUACUGGAGCAACAUAGCUGAGUUGUGGGUUGACUUACGCUUGCAUCACUACCCUGAACCUGAUUGUGUCUGCAGUCAUCUGGAACUGACUACAUGCCUAGACUGAUAAAACAUGCCGUGCAAACAUGAAUCUCUCUGAGGCCAUGGCAAGAUGCUUUUGCAGUAUCCUGUCCCUCUAUUGCCUGGACUUCUGGAAGACAGGAGAGUGAGAAUCAGCGGUGAUUGUUUUCCUACCGGCGCAGUUUGAGAACUACUUUGACAGCCAAUAGAACAGGAACUACCUUGCAGUGUUGCCACCGCAAGUGCAUGCUCUUUCUGACAGUGUAUGAUUGCGCUGUGUCCGCAGCGGGGAAUGAUGCCAGAAUUGCCGUCUAAUCAUCCAUAUUCUUUUCUCAUACUGUAACCAAGUUGUUUUCCAAAAACGUUCAUGCAAAAAUGCAAAGAUUCUCCACGUAGAAUAAAGUAGGCCUAUAGGGCCUAAGGAAGGGCUGGUAUGGAACAAAAGGAAAAUUAGAUCUUCCAGCAAUUUUGCUCUUGUAAUCAAGACCUAUCUGUGGCAGUUCUUAUGCAGGAUACACUCGUAGUGAGGCUUAUGAGAAUCUUCCUUGUGUGAAGACUGUAGGAUUUAGCCCUAGCAAAUUAUAUCAUUCUACAAUGG